rnacentral:rRNA from 1 species
UACGUAGGGGGCGAGCGUUGUCCGGAUUUAUUGGGCGUAAAGAGCUCGUAGGCGGUUUGGUAAGUUGGAUGUGAAAUCUCCAGGCUCAACUUGGAGGGGUCAUUCGAUACUGCCAUGACUAGAGUUCGGUAGGGGAGUGUGGAAUUCCUGGUGGAGCGGUGAAAUGCGCAGAUAUCAGGAGGAACACCGAUGGCGAAGGCAGGUCUCUGGGCAUUAACUGACGCUGAGGAGCGAAAGCAUGGGGAGCGAACAGG